rnacentral:rRNA from 1 species
UACAGAGGUCCCAAGCGUUGUUCGGAUUUAUUGGGCGUAAAGGGUGCGUAGGCGGCGCGGUAAGUCGGGUGUGAAAUCUCGGGGCUUAACUCCGAAACUGCAUUCGAUACUGGCGUGCUUGAGGACUGGAGAGGAGACUGGAAUUUACGGUGUAGCGGUGAAAUGCGUAGAUAUCGUAAGGAAGACCAGUGGCGAAGGCGGGUCUCUGGACAGUUCCUGACGCUGAGGCACGAAGGCCAGGGGAGCAAACGGG